CCUACGGGGGGCAGCAGUGGGGGAUAUUGCACAAUGGGGGAAACCCUGAUGCAGCGACGCCGCGUGGGUGAAGAAGCGCCUCGGCGCGUAAAGCCCUGUCAGCAGGGAAGAAAAUGACGGUACCUGAAGAAGAAGCCCCGGCUAACUACGUGCCAGCAGCCGCGGUAAUACGUAGGGGGCAAGCGUUAUCCGGAUUUACUGGGUGUAAAGGGGGCGCAGACGGCGAUGCAAGCCAGGAGUGAAAGCCCGGGGCCCAACCCCGGGACUGCUCUUGGAACUGCGUGGCGAGAGUGCAGGCGGGGCAGGCGGAAUUCCUGGUGUAGCGGUGAAAUGCGUAGAUAGCAGGAGGAACACCGGUGGCGAAGGCGGCCUGCUGGACUGCAACUGACGUUGAGGCCCGAAAGCGUGGGGAGCAAACAGGAUUAGAUACCCGGGUAGUC
rnacentral:rRNA from 1 species